UACGGAGGGUGCAAGCGUUAUCCGGAUUUACUGGGCGUAAAGCGCGUGUAGGCGGCUGGUCAAGCGUGGUGUGAAAUCUCCGGGCUCAACCCGGAAACUGCAUUGCGAACUGACCUAGCUGGAGUGCAGGAGAGGGCAGCGGAAUUCCCGGUGUAGCGGUGAAAUGCGUAGAUAUCGGGAAGAACACCAGUGGCGAAGGCGGCUGCCUGGCCUGUAACUGACGCUGAGACGCGAAAGCGUGGGGAGCGAACCGG
rnacentral:rRNA from 1 species